UUAACUAAGGCUCCGCACCUCUCUCUCUCUCUCUCUCUCUCUCUCUCUCUCGUUUGUCGCGCCCCCAUAGUUCUUGUUCUCUGCUCAUCGUCUCUUCUACGAUCGAUCCUUGUCCGAUUAGAUUCGAUGCAACUCACUCUGGAGUUUGGCGGCGGCCUGGAGCUCCUUUGCCAAUCCUCCAAGAUCCACAACGUAGAUGUGAAACCAAACCCCGGUGAGGACAAGCUAACGAUGCGCGACAUGUUGGCUUGGGUCAAGUCGAAUUUGAUCGAGGAGCGACCUGAGAUGUUCAUGAAAGGGGACUCGGUGAGACCGGGGGUGUUAGUACUCAUAAACGAUUGUGACUGGGAACUAUGUGGCAGCCUCGACACGGAGUUGGAGGAGAAGGAUGUCGUGGUCUUUAUCUCUACCUUGCAUGGUGGUUAGCAUCGGUUUGCAGGAAAGAAGAAUCUUAAUCAAGUUUAGUGGCAAAUAUUCUUUAAGCUGCUAAUAAGUAUAUGGUAAGAUGCUUCUGAUUUACUCUCUUGAAUUACUUUUCAAGCUAACUGCUGAUCACAAGAAUCACUUAGAUAUCUGUAUGCUUGAUGCAUAUGUUCAGGGUACAUACAGUGUUAGUCAAGAGAUGGUAGAAAGUAGAUGUGUGUUUCUGUUGUGCUCUCUAGACCAAAAAAUGGAGUAGUUGAUAUUCAAUCAAUAAUGCAUGUAGAAUUCUUUUGUCAGUUGAAAUCACUUAAAAUUCCUACUCUUUCUGAUGAAGGGUCAUAUACAUCCAUUUCCCCUUCCAAUAAAGUCUGCAUCUGGGAACACAACUCAAUGGUAAACCUCUCUUCCUUUUCCUUAUUUUGCAUGUAAUUAGUAUCUCAGAGACCAUUCCGAGAAGGUAAGCUUGCCUUAGAAUUUUUGGAUACCAGCUUUUCUGUGGAAUCUACAUGGAAUUCUGUUCUAUGUCAAGUUAUAUAAAAGAACAGUUCAAUAUUUUUUUUUUCCCUUAUUAAUAGAGCAUGCUGGACGUAACUUUUGGUACCUUCAUUAUCGUCAUGAAGUCUCCACCAGUUAUAAUCAGGGAAUGACUAUUUUCUGAGUGUGGAUUUCAUUUCAUCAUUUGACUUCAUGGCAAAUUGAUGGUAAAUGAUUUCUACUAGUAAAUCUUGGUUGUAUUCACAUGGUCAAGAUGUUAGCCUUCGGACUCCUUGACAUUUUGGCAUCAGUUUUCUUAUUUUUCCAUGACAUUUGCGAUGGCUUCCUUCUAGAAAGAUGAUGUUUAUUUUACCAACGACAUUACGAUGGUUGGUAUUUCUAAGCAUGGAUUGAUCCUCUGAUUAUGAAGAUAAAUUUGUUUGACUCUCCAAAUGACACAAGACAAAAAACCAAAUGAGCAAUUUUGCGUGCUAGAGAGUUGCCAGGUUUUAUAUGUCCAUUGGUGCUAGUGCAUAUGCUAUGAUUAGUUCUGCAUUAGUUGCGGUCGAAGCUUGGUAAUGCAGAUGAGUCACUAUCCAUCCUCAAAUAGCAGCAAUUUAGUAUUCCAUUUUGAGGGCUUAGAUCAUGAGAAAUAGCAGUCUCAUUCAAAGAUGAGGAUACAUGACCCUAUUAUCUGAACCAAAGCAGGUUGAAAGAAACCUGUAUAAAUUGUUUAGGAAGAAACCUGUAUGAUCUGAACCAAAGUAGAUCAAAAGAAAGAUACAUGGAGGCCUGAAGUCUCACAGUCAAAACAUCAUGUUUGAAUACCUUUUAUCUACUAUUUUGUCUUUCUCAUGUUUUACUUUAUAAUCUCAGGUGCUUUUGUUAUGAAGUCUAUUGAAAUCUAUAUCUAGGGGUCACUUCAAAGUGUCUUGGAGAAGAUAUAUUUUUGUUUAAUUAAUAUUCCUCUUAGACUAUCUGUCUUCUCUUAGCUCUUAUUAUUUAUUUGAUUCAUGUGCUGAUAUAUUUGUCUUGUCACUGGUGGAUGCAUUAGCUGGUUAGUUCACACAUUUCUUUCUUUCAACAGGACAUAUGCCUGAACUUAAUAGACAAUUAUACUUUUGAUAUGAUGGAUCUUUAACCCUUAAAAUUUAUAUUCUAGCAAAUUAAUUACAUUGGAUCAUCAAACUCUUAUUCUUAUUAUUAUCAAUGUCUUUUUCUGGUUAAAUGAAUUCUUGCUACAAAACCAACUUAUUAUUAGCUUAACAUCCAGAUGAUUCUCUAGAUCAUCACACAAGAAAGAUAUACAAAUGUACACGAAAGACUUAUAUUUCAUGUUCCCUUGAGAAACAACCUCUUAUAACUAGAUAAAAAUCAUAACUCCAUUUUAGAGAUCUUUUACUAAGCUAAACAACCUCUCUAUGAUGCACAUAGGCAGCAUUGCACUGGUCCUGCCUUUUUUUUGUGGGGUUUUUUUUGUUGAUAUUGUUAGGUGGUAGAAAGCUGUAAAUAUUGCAGUUUAGCUUUACACAUUUGGAUUGGUAAAUGGUAACAAAAACAAUGGAAUGCUGCUGCCUGCUUACAGUAAGCUCCUCCACUUUGCAUGUGACAUUUCCAAAGUUUUGAGUUGAAUGUGGGGUCAAAAUCAAAAAAAAAAAAUUUGACCCUAUCUGUACGACAGCAAGCAUCUCGGUUCGUCUUAUUGUUUUUGUUGGUGCAUUCUUUUCCUUAUUUUAACUGUGCUAAAAUUGUUGGCGAGGAAGGACAUCACCAAUGAGCUCCAGGUUUUGAAGAUGCUUUAAGCUAAAACCAGUUGCAGCGCAACUCUCCUUUGAGAGAUACAGUGGAGGAGUAAGCCUCGCAUCUCCCGUUACCGAUCAGCUUAUUAUUGGGCAAAGACAACUACUACUUGGUUUCUGCUGCCUUCCUUUGUGCCGCGUCGCAGCCUUUUUAUAUCAGGCUUUUAGGCGCGGCGGAGGUGGAACAAACCCACCAACUAAAUCGGCAUAAGUUCACUGUGGGCAUGGCUUAUCCUCAUCGUCUUUUGGUACUUUCCUUUUCUUCCGCGACCAUCAUCCUGUAUUGUUCUUCUUGAGACCAUCAUCCUGUAUGAGCCUUUCUGAUACGGAGAGGGGGAAAAUAAAGAGAAGAAAAGGGCUCGGUGGCAAAAGCGUGCUGCCUUGUGCUCUUCUUUUUAUCUCUAUGGGAAGACGGCAGACCAAAGCCAACCCCCUCGUAUCCUUCCUUCCUGUCAUCAGCGAGUUAUGAGUCCUCCGCAGGAGAUCAAGGGGUGCAUGGAACGCUGUCGAGGCUCGACUUAACAAGUUUUUCAAAAGCCAUUUAUAUAGGAAUCGUCAAUGAAUCUGUUCUUGGUACAGAGUGUCAGUCAGGUCCAUAAAGGACCAUAAGGUCCAUAAAGCAAUGGAGGACGAGGGACAAAAGUGAGUGAUGAGGACAAUGACGAGGGGUUUUGUGGAGUAUGUGAGCCUCCACAGGUGACAUGAUGGUGGUGAGAAGCAUCACAAGGCCUAUAAGGACAACUUUCGAGGAUGGUGACAAGGCAACGAUACCGACGAGAGAUGAUGAAAGGUUUUGACGGGAUGAAAUUGCUCGAGACUUGGUACCAACAAAUAGCUGGAUCUAUGUAUCUUGUCUUCGAGCCGAAGCUUAAUUGUUAUGAUCAGAAACAGCUCAUCGGUACAUAAUCUCCGGCAACAUAACUUUCAUCGAAGAUCCUGCUAAGGUUGCAGGUCCCAACCAGGCACAACUGGUUUGGCAUGAAUGAUACAUACAGCUAGCAACAGCUCAAUUAUAGCCUCUUAAGUGAUGAAAUUCCAUGAGAGUUGGCGUUAAAGCUUCCAAUGGUGGGAUGAAUGGUUAGUUUCUAUAGGUAAAGCAAAAGUUUUCUCAUAAACCUCCAGCUGAAUAAUGCUGUAAAGAAUAUGUUGAACUCAGCAAAUUGUCAUGAAAAGUUGAAAAGAUGCAGGUUUCAACAGA